UACUUAGGGAGUCACAUUAGUGCAGUUGCCUGAAAGUAACUCUAACCCAUUCUCUUUUGCAGGUAGUUGGUUUCAUCGGCUUAGCUGCCCUUCAUCUUCACUAUCACCCCAGGGAAGGGACUUCUCUUUAGUCCCUUCUCUCUGAAACUGACAGUACUGAAUGGAUCUACUGCUGAAACAACAGAGAAGCCUCACUGGAUUGAAAAGGGUCAAUAAUUCCUUAUCAUGAUCCAUAUGGACUUGUUGCUCUCAAGAGCCUAGGAAAACAAACAACGCCAAAGCUAAUUCUUCCCGGAAAAAAGAUAAAUGCAUCAGAUGUAAAAGAAACGUGUUCCAUCUAGUACCUUUCAUGCAAAUUUUCAAACCAUCUGCAAAAUCAGUCCCUGUGUUCUGAAGGAUACAGCGAGAAAACCACCUAAAAAUGAGGCAGAAAACAAAGCCUUAAUGUGAAAAAUCUCACAGAGAAAAAGCUUAUUAAAGAAACAGGAUCAUAGUUACAGAACAUGGACUAGGUUUAAUGACUAUUACCUCUUCUUCCUGAACUUUUUAAGCUUUCCAAGUAACUUCUACAAUGCAUCCUUCUAAAAGGAAACUUCAGGCCACCCUGCGAGGUCUGCCCGGCAACUGCAGGCAGAUUUUGCCACUGAACUCAGCCACGUGGGACUGAAGAAUCCCAGGUGAACUGCAAGCAUCAGGCCCAGGCACUGACUCCCUUGAGGUGCAUCGGGUUACAUAUUUAGAAAACGGGCAGGGCCAGCAGGGAGAACGAUCUGGUCAGGCUUAGCCCCGCUCUGCUGCUGAGGGCUGAGCCCCCAGAACAGGCUGU
rnacentral:lncRNA from 1 species